rnacentral:lncRNA from 1 species
UAAGACUUACUGUUGUUCUGGUCUCUUUUUGCCGAACCACUAAGUUACGGGGGACAUAAACAUACCAGCAUCGUUUGUCAAGUAAUGUUGGGGGAACAAACACAGACAAACACAGACACACACACACACACAUAUACAACAGGCUUCUUUUAGUUUCCAUCUACCAAAUCCACUAACGAGGCUUUGGUCGGCCCGAGGCUAUAGUAGUUAUUAUUAUUAUCAUUAUUAUUAUUAUUAUUAUUAUUGAAGGCAGCAAGCUGGCAGAACUGUUAGGAGGUUGGGCGAAAUGCUUAGUGGUAUUUCGUCCAUCUUCAUGUCCUGAGGUCAAAUUUGCCUUUCAUUUGUUCGGGGUUGACAAAAUAUGUACCAGUUGAACGCUGAGGCCUGUGUAAGCAAUUAUCUCUUUCCCUCAAAAUUUCAGGCCAUGUACCUAUGGUAGAAAGAGUUGCUGCUGUUGUUGUUGUUGUUGUUGUUGUUGUUGUCAUUUUCAAAAGUUUAAUUCUUGGUUAAAUAAUUAUGGAAAUAUGAAAAGCAUAUUUGAUGGUGAAGAGGUUGGUGGUGAGGAAGGAACGAAAGAGAAUGAACGAGAUAAUGUAUAUGUCUUUAUUUAGGCUGGUAUUGAAUUAAUAAAACUCAUCAUAGGAAAUUCAAAUUCCUUUCUUCAUCCUAACGUGUUCAGACAUGUUUCUUGUGUUGGAUGAAAGCCGAAGAAACCUGUUUCUUUUCAUCGAUCAGAUCUAAGCAUUUCUCUUUCUCCAAUGGAUACUCUUGUUGUUGUUGUUCUUGUUCUUCUUUGUUUCUGUCUUUAUCUCUUUCGUCCUUUGUCCAUUCUAUUGUUUAUAUAUUUUGUUAGGACACAUCUCCAUUAUAUACAUCACCAGUCAGUGGCCUUGUUAUAUUCAUUCAUUCAUUCAUUCCUAUCUCUGUUCUGUCUUAGUUGGAAAGACUGAAAAUGAGAAAAAAAAUAAUAAAAAUAAAGGAAAAUGAAAAAAAAAUGAACUAAACCUACAAAAGGCACAGCUGUAGCUGUGUGGUAAGAACUUUGCUUUGCGUAACCAUAGUUUCAGGUUCAGUCCCUCUGUGUGGCACCUUCAGCAAAUGUCUAUUAUAGCUCUUGGCCAACCAAAGCCUUGUGAGUAUUUUGUGGAUAAAUUAAAAGAAAAAUAUUUUAAAACUGGUGCUCUGUCAGUUAUGAGGACAAGUGUUUCAGUUGUUCCGAUUAAUGGAAGAGCCAGCUCAUGAAAUUAACAUGCAAGUGGUUGAGUACACCACAGACACGUGUAUCCUUAACAUAGUUCUCAUUGGAGAUUCAGCUUGACAGAGAACGUGACAGGGUUUGUGCUUUGAAAUACAGGUCCUACUCAUUUUAACCAGCUGAGUGGAGUGGAGCAAUGUGAGGUAAAGUGUUUUGCUGAAGGACACAGUGCACCAAUGAGGAAUGGAACUCACAACCUUGUGACUAUAAACUAACUACCCUAACCACACAGCCACACACUGAUUAGUAGUGGACCAGCCCUCUUCUCAACUGGGGGCGUCCGCCACAACAAAUAUCCUAACCACACAGCCACACACUGGUUUGAUGGAUAGAAACUGAAAGAAGCCCACUGUAUGUGUGUCUGUGUGUCUCCUUGUCUUGACAACCGGUCGCUUGUUGUAAAUGAGUAUCACUGUCAUACAAGUGGUGUUUACAGUCUUCCAUGAAAACAUGUCCAGCUAAAAGCAUAAUAUUACUUUGUUAACAGGUCAGGGUUUGUAACAGGGAGGAGAUCCAAUAAUUAGUAAAAAAAAAAGGAAAAAGCUCUGCCCCAACAAAUUCUCUCCAACCCAAACAAACAUGCAAAAUUAGAUAUGAGAACAAUAAUGAUAGUCGUGAUGGUGGUGGUGAUUACGAUAAUAAUGGCAGGGAUAGAUACAAACACCAAUUCUCACAAAUUUUGGUGCCAGAGUAUAGUGUAUGGCACUGACCUCAAGAUUUAGUUCACCUCAGAAGAAUGAAAGAUAAACUUGAUUUUGAUAAUUGUUUAAUUCUGUCAAAUGUAAUGCUUAUUUAUUCAUUCUUUUGAAUUAAUCCAGCAUUAUCUCAUAGCUCUGAGAUUUCAAUGAUGAGACUGUUUUAAUCUUAGAAUGAAGCAGCAGGGUAGGGGUGAGAGCCUGGAUCUGGUCAGUUUGAUCACAAAACAGGUAGAAUAUAUAUUUGCACCUAGGAUAUGGUUGGUUUAAAUCUGAAAGGACAUGUAUAUAUAUCUGUCUGUCUAUGCAAUCAAAAUACGCAAAAAGGAUAUCCAUCCUUGUUGCUUAUUUUGAUUUUAAUUACCUUACAUUGAAAUUGUAUGGAUAACACCAUACUAAAUUCUGGUGCCUCAACUUAAGUACCGUAUUCAUCUGAAUCUAAAUUUUAUCUGUCUAGGUAUAGAUGUAUGUAUGGAUGGAUGGAUGGAAUGAAUGAAUGUAUGUAUGUAUGUGUGUACAUAUGCAUGGAUGUAUGUAUGUAUGCAUGUAU